CAUCAAUACUGCCAGUGCGACGGGUGUCAUAUAGCUUAAAGACCGCCCGCCACUUGGCAAUAUCGGUAAGCAGAGCUUCGAACUCCUCGAAACCAAGGCGACCGGAGCGAUCCUUGUCCAGCAUGGCUACCAUCGAACGCACGGCAUCCUUGGAGAAGCCAUCACUGCCCACCAUAACAUCGCGCAUAGAGUGGUCCAGGAUGCGCUUCAGCUCCUGCCAGUCGACUUCCUCAUCGCUGCCAGCCACGCUGUCGAACAGACGACGCAGUGCAAUGCGCUGCGGAUCAUCCUCCUCCUUUGGAGUCGGUGGCGGCAGAGACGGAGCAAUGCGAUCGUCGGUCUCGCCAAAGCCAACCUCAUCGUCGUUCUCCUCCAUAUUGUUCCUUGUCUCCGAGAAGACGCGAAUAAUGAACUCGCCCUCCUCAUUCGGAUCGAAGGUCGAUGGAACAAUCAGGUAGUGGCCAGGUGGCAACUUAAACCGGGCGCAAACCUCGCGCGUGUUGAUAAAAUGUGGUGAACGCGCCACCGAUGCUCGGUACUUGAAGAAGUUGAGUCCCUGGGGCUUCACUUGCAUGUCACGGUCUGUGAGAUGAUAUAUAGCAAAUCCGAUGGUCAGACAGUCGAUGCCCACGUUGCGCUUGCUACGUCGAUUCUUCUGCAUAAGGGCCACAAUAGCCGUGCAUUUGCCAUCGUCAUCCUCGUCGUCGGGAUCCUCCAGCGAAAUGAUGUACUGCGGAUUGUGCCAGAAGGUUUCCAGGAAGUUUCUGCAACCGCCGGCUGUUACUCCCGAUGUCCACUCACCCUCGAACAUGGACAUUUCCCACUUGCGGCGAGAGCUGUGCUGCUGAUCCUCAGUCAGCGAGUCGGGCGACAAAUUACAUAUCUCCACGCGAUCAAAAUGAUUGAGGAAGUCCUGGAAGGACAUCCAGAACUCGCCGUCCCUAUCGAAAUUCAGGCCAAUCUCCUCCUUCGUGUGCUCCGGAAUAAAUCGCCACUCAGGCGAGCUGUCGCUCCACGGACCGCUCCAUUCGGCAUCGUUGCCCCAUGGAUUACGCAUACGUAUCAUGGGCAAUUUUCCCUGCCGAUUGGGCGUCGAUAUGUCCAUGAGGCACACCUUGGUAAUGGAGUAUGCAUGACCGCGAAUCAAACCUUGUGGCGUCUCCGCUUCCAGAACAUGUGGAUCCGGCUCCAAAGAGCAGCCCAUCAUCGAGCCACGCUCGGCGGCCUUCAUCAUGAUGCUGAAUAGAUUUGGGGGCGCCUCCUUGAUGUCGUACCACUCGGUGACGCCGCCAGU
ensembl:ncRNA asRNA:CR45875 antisense RNA:CR45875